UAACUGCGAUACUUAGUGCGAACUGCAGAUAUUUUGAGCACUGAGGCUUCUAAUGCACAUUGCGCCAUCGGAGCAACACCUUUGGCCCAUCUGGUUCAGGGUUGUCUAAUCGAAGCGAACGCCUCUUCGUUCACACGGUGGGAUCACUGCUAAAGCAGUGUUCCCGCCUCUUGUCGCCGGAAUGGGCUACCUGCCUGCUCGAUUGCGGUACAGCGGCCCGGACAGCGAGUGUUUAUGAGCCAGGCGAUGCGCUCGCCAGCUGGCGGUAGUCAAUCACAGCCGUCGAUUGCCUCUCCGCCGUGCUUGUUCGGCUGAGCGGCGCACAGCCGUAGGAUGGCUCUCGCAACAGCGACCUGAACUCAGGUGAGAUCACCUGCUGAACUUAA
rnacentral:misc_RNA from 1 species